rnacentral:rRNA from 1 species
UACGGAGGGGGCUAGCGUUGUUCGGAAUUACUGGGCGUAAAGCGCACGUAGGCGGCUUUGUAAGUUAGAGGUGAAAGCCCAGGGCUUAACCCUGGAAUUGCCUUUAAGACUGCAUCGCUAGAAUCGUGGAGAGGUGAGUGGAAUUCCGAGUGUAGAGGUGAAAUUCGUAGAUAUUAGGAAGAACACCAGUGGCGAAGGCGGCCAACUGGCCCGAUACUGACGCUCAUGUGCGAAAGGCGUGGGGAGCAAACAGG